rnacentral:lncRNA from 1 species
GGGAUCAAACCCUCAUCCUCAUGGAUACCAGUUGAGUUUGUUAUCACUGAGCCAAGUGGGAACUCCCAGACAAUGUUUUUACAUCACUCCCAAUCCAUCUAAUUUUGAGGCCACCUCCCAAGGAAUUUCUAUUAGCUGAUUUUAUUUAAUAUAAAAAACCCCCUCAACAUGACUUUGAAAAUGUUAGACUUGCAUCGCAUUGUCCCAGAUUGUCCCUUUGCACUUGCCGUUCUUUUAGAGUGAGAAGAGGCUGUCCCUGGAGUGAGAACAGGGGGAGGUUCUGGCUCAGAAACUCACAACCACAGUCUCUGCUUUCCUAAGGACCAUUGUUCCUUUUCCUCCUCGGCCAGCAUCCACACAAGUCAGGUGUGAGCAGACAUACCUGUGAUAAGGAUCUCACAACCCUUCCAGAUUUAUAUCUUGAUAUUAUGUAACUCCUAUAGAAGAGGAUACAGAGUUUGGUGUUUAUCCACACUGUUUACAGAUGUUUUUGUGUUUCGGCUCUGUUCAUAAAGACAUAUAUUAAAGUGAGUCAUUUUCUGUAUUAUCCUCUUUGUCCUAGGAUAAGAGGAUCUAUUCAUGAUCUAUGCAGUUAUGCACUUUUUUUUUUACCAAUCUAUAGAUGUGUGCAUGUAUGAAAAAAUACAUGACAAUGAAAGAAUUGAAUUUCAUAUAGGUUAUCAGUUUAGUUGCCACUUUACGUUUUGGAAACAUCUGGGCACAUGUAUUACACAGUAUUUCCAAUCAACGUGGUAGCGUACUUUAAAAUCCACAGGCUGCUGAGAGCCCAGAUUCACCCGCCGGGAGUGCCUCACCUAAUGAAAGUCUCCAUUCAGCUUUCAACGUCGGCAGCUACUUGCAAAGUUGCACAGAAAGAGCUCUUGGAGUUCCCAUCAUGGCUCAGCAGGUUAAGAACCCAGCAUCGUGUCCGUGAGGAUACAGCUUUGAUCGCUGGCCUUGUUCAGUGGGUUAAGGACCCGAUGUUGCUGUGGCUGUGGUGUAGGCCAGCAGCUGCUCCUCUGAUUUAACCCUAGCCUGGGAACCUCCAUAUACUGCAGGUGCAGCCGAAAAAGAAAAAGAAAAAAAAAAAAUAAAAAAAAAAAAAAAAA